AAUUUACAAACUUUCUUCUCAUUUCCAGGAAGCACAAACCCUUCGGGUUGCUCCAUAUAAACUUCUUCAUCAAGAUCACCAUUUAAGAAUGCCGUCUUAACAUCCAUUUGAUGGACAUUUAGAUUAUAUAUUGAUGCCAAAGCAAAUAAUACUCUUAUUGAGGAGAUUCAAUUGCCUUUCUUUUAUUGUUAGAAGAAGAACUAGGUUCUGCACAAUUUUCUUGAGUUACUGCAUUAUCACCAAUGCUUGUUGCAUUACCAUCUUGUUUAGUAAUUUCUGUGUCCUCAUGUGAAUUAUUAGAGUCACCAAUGAACUUUGUUUCCAAGAACUCAACAUCUUUAGAUUCCACAA